UACAGAGGUCUCAAGCGUUGUUCGGAUUCAUUGGGCGUAAGGGUGUGUAGGUGGCGCCGUAAGUCGGGUGUGAAUUCGGAGCUUAACUCCGAAACUGCAUUCGAUACUGCGGUGCUUGAGGACUGGAGAGGAGACUGGAAUUCAUGGUGGUAGCAGUGAAAUGCGUAGAGAUCAUGGAGGAGACCGUGGCGAAGGCGGGCUCUGGACAGUUCCGUGA
rnacentral:rRNA from 1 species